rnacentral:pre_miRNA from 1 species
AGGCAGUGUAGUUAGCUGAUUGUAUCCAUCUCUUUGCAAUCACUAACUUUACUGCCAUC